rnacentral:rRNA from 1 species
GACGAACGCUGGCGGCGCGCUUAACACAUGCAAGUCGAACGGAAAGGCCUGCUUUCCCUUGUGGAUUGCGGGUACUCGAGUGGCGAACGGGUGAGUAACACGUGAGCGAUCUGCCCCCAACUUGGGUAUAAGCCUGGGAAACUGGGUCUAAUUCCCGAUAGGACUGCAGGGUGGUGCCUGUGGUGGAAAACGAUUUUCUAGUGGUUGGGGAUGAGCUCGCGGCCUAUCAGCUUGUUGGUGGGGUAAUGGCCUACCAAGGCGGCGACGGGUAGCCGGCCUGAGAGGGUGGACGGCCACAUUGGGACUGGGAUACGGCCCAGACUCCUACGGGAGGCAGCAGUGGGGAAUAUUGCACAAUGGGCGGAAGCCUGAUGCAGCGACGCCGCGUGGGGGAUGACGGCCUUCGGGUUGUAAACUCCUUUCGACCGCGAGGAAGCCACCUGGUUGGAAGGGUGGUGACGGUAGUGGUAGAAGAAGCACCGGCUAACUACGUG